UUUUCUCACAAUUGUUCUUUGCUAUUUUUUUGGGUACAGAAACGGUCCAUUUUACUUGUAUUAAGUGACAUUUAUGUGUAAUGAUACUUGCAUCUGUGUGUUUUCGGAGAAUGGAGAAAAAAAUUGGUGAUUGACUGUCCCGACAAGGGGAUUCUAAUUUUGAUUGGCUCUUACUUAAAUAAUAUGAUCUGCAAAGUUCAAAUGGUUGUAUAUUCGACCCAUACUAGGAGUCUAGAAGUGAUACUUUUGUGAGGAGCACUGAAACAUGACUGGGUCAAGCGAGACGGAGAACGAUGGAUGAGUGAAAGAGAUCAGAAAAGGUAUUCGCUCCCGACCACCUCAUGCAUACAUGUGUAAGAGCUUGUCACCUCAUACAUAUCUCUUGUAGCUAUAUAGGGCUCUUUUCGUAUUCUAGGAAAUUUUCAAAUUAUGUUUUACUAGGGAUGUAAGUAUCAGAUGCUAGAUAUGUGAUCUACUGAUCUGUGUGAUCUUAGAGAUUUUAGACUUUCAGGAUUCAACCAUCAGUUGUCUUCCUCGAAUAUUUCUUUAUUUUUGUAGGGCAGUCUGUUCUUUUUUUAAGUCCUUGAAGCGCCAUUCAGAACAUGUGAUCAUGGUUCUCAAAUUCAUGUGAAAUACAUUCCUUUGAUCUCAGUUUUAUAGGGAAAUUAACAUGAUCUCAUUUUUAUCAUACUGACAAUAUAUUAUGUUAUACAAUAAAAUACUGCUUGUAGCUAUACAUGGCUCUUUUCGUAUUCUUUGAAAUUUUCAAAUUAUAUUUUACUAGGUCUGUUCUUUAAAAAAAAAUCCUUGAAGCGCCAUUUAGACCAUAUGAUUGUGGUUGUCAAAUUCAUGUGAAAUACAUACCUUUCAUCUCAGUUUUAUCAUGCUGACAAUAUAUUAUGUUAUACAAGGUGAUCCACAACAUAGCUUGCAGCCUCCGAGAGCUCAGGAAGAUGUGGAGAUGAUUAUAGCUUGAAACAUUGUGACUUUUUUCACUUAGUGGUCAUGUAACAUACAGUGGUAACAAUGAAUUCUUGCUCAUUUGGUAAAACUUACAUCUUAACUUGUCAUGAUAAUUAACCAUUGGCUAUCCGAUGAUUAGCACUGUAAUUAGUUAUCUACCUUCCAUGUUGCUCUUAUUAUUGUUGAU
rnacentral:lncRNA from 1 species